AUUCGCAUCAACAUCAUCGUUACCGUAACAGUUAUCUUAUAGUAAUCCAUAAUCAGAAGAAUAAAACAGUCCAUCCAUCUGGAAAGUGGACCAAGAUCUCUGCUUACGCGGUCCGAAUGGUCUACAGCUGACGAAUGGGUCACCAGUCAUGUCCUUGGGGCAGCUACAUAUUGGAGUGAUGUCACGCAGUUCACAGUUGGCAUUUACACCGCAAACACCUUCGCAUGGAUUCAUACAUUUCUGAUAAAGACAAGCAGGUUUCCCACGCGGGCAAUCGGAAUGGCCAGCAUUUACGUCAUCUCUGACUAAUACUCACGUUGGGGCAGGUACACUUGGCUCUGUGGUUGAUAACCUCGCAAUUUGCAUUCUCACCGCACUUGCAAGGACUUUCGCACUUGUACUCGGACGUACAAGCUAAAUGAUUACCACAAUCGUAAUCGCUCUCGCACUCGUGACGACAUCCUACCAAUGGAGAUCCUCGGUAUCCAGGAAGACAGGAUGUUAAAGGGAUACGUACGGGGAUCAGCAAUUCUGCAGGCUGUGAAAGGAUCACCGGUCUGUCCAGGAGGACACGAACAGGUCGGGACGUGGUUCCUCGUCUGACAUUCUGCAUUCACUCCGCACAGACCAGCACAUGGGUCAACGCAUCUGUUGUUCAGACAGGCCUUGCUACCGAUGCAAUCGUCAUCGACUGCAAAAUUAUAGAUUUAUAAUCUAUGCUAUUUUCAAUAUGCAUAUAAUUUUUAAUUAUUAACACAUUCUUAUACUUACUUUGACACUCUACGCGUAUGCAUCUGACCAGUGGAUCCCCCAUGUGCAGAUUAAGGCAGGAACACACUGGUCGACCUUCGCUGAUCGUGCAUUUCGCAUUCGUUCCACAUGUGUAAGAACUGCAACUGGCUGCAAGGAUUAUUGUUAUUUAUUGUAACUGUUGAAAUUGACCUGAAUCUAAAGUAACCAGUGAUUUCAUAUCCUUUCAAUACCCCUUUUCAUGUAUUGUAAAUGCUGUGUGAAGUCCCACUGAAAUUUCAAUGCCCGCGGAAUAAUAAUGGCGGCUCGUAUGAAAGUCAACAUACCGAUUUAUCAUUACAGAUACUUGGAGAAUACGAGUGAUUAAUGAUACGUAUGACUGAGGCUUAUUUGCAUGAUGAAUCUAACAUAUUUCUCAUUAUUAGUUAUUUAGCUAAUUACAAUCGCACCAGGUAGACAAUUUCGAAUGAUAUCGAUAUAAUUAAAUUGCAAUCCAAUAAGUUUUAA